UACAGGGGGUGCAAACGUUGCUCGGAAUUACUGGGCGUAAAGCGUGCGCAGGCGGUUUUGUAAGUCUGUCGUGAAAUCCCCGGGCUCAACCUGGGAAUUGCGAUGGAUACUGCAAGGCUAGAAUCUGGCAGAGGGGGGUAGAAUUCCACGUGUAGCAGUGAAAUGCGUAGAGAUGUGGAGGAACACCGAUGGCGAAGGCAGCCCCCUGGGUCAAGAUUGACGCUGAUGCACGAAAGCGUGGGGAGCAAACAGG
rnacentral:rRNA from 1 species